rnacentral:rRNA from 1 species
AGCACCCCGCCUCCAUCCUAGGGGGGUCCAUUGAUAUACUGGGGAACUUGAGUGCAGAGGAAGAGAGUGGAAUUCCUUGCGUAGGCGAGUAAAGGUAGAGAGGGGGAGGAACACCCAGUGGGGAAGGCGACUCUCUGGUCUGUAACUGACGCUGAGGAGGGGAAAGCGUGGGGAGCGAACAAGAUUAGAUUACCCUGGUAGUUCAUGCCGUAAACGAUGGGUGAUAAGUGUUAGGGGGUUUUCUCCCCUUAGUGAUGCAGGUAACGCAUUAAGCACUCCUCCUGGGGAGUGCGGUCGCAAGAAUGAAAAUCAAAGGAAUUGACGGGGGGGCGCCCAAGCGGUGGAGCAUGUGGUUUAAUUAGAAGCAACCCGAAGGACCUUUCCAGGUCUUGACAUCCUUUGUCAAUCCUAGAGAUAGGACGUCCCCUUCGGGGGCAGAGUGACAGGUGGUGCAUGGUUGUUGUCAGCUCGUGUCGUGAGAUGGUGGGUUAAGUCCCGCAACGAGCGCAACCCUUGAUUUUUGUUGCCAGCCUUCAGUUGGGCACUCUAAGGUGACUGCCGGUGGCAAACCGGAGGAAGGUGGGGAGGACGUCAAAUCAUCAUGCCCCUUAUGACCUGGGCUACACACGUGCUUCAAUGGGCAGAACAAAGGGCAGGGAAACCGCGAGGGUAAGCCAAUCCCACAAAUAUGUUUUCAGUUUGGAUCGCAGUCUGCAACUUGAUUGGGUGAAGGAGGAAUCGCUAGUAAUUGCGGAUCAGCAUGCCGCGGUGAAUACGUUCCCGGGCCUUGUACACACCGCCCGUCACCCCCCGAGAGUUUGUAACACCCGAAGUCGGUGAGGUAACCUUUUUGGACCAGCCGCCGAAGGUGGGACAGAGAUAGGGGGAAGUCGA